AGAAUUUUUACAUAUUAUUUUGUUUAAUAGUACACAGAAACAAACAAACAAACAAAUAUUCUCACUGAUUCAUUCACCAGUUCAUUAUUUCUUUCCACUCCAUUUCCUAUCUUCUAACAAAAGCUGUAUGUUUCUUUUCACAGAAAUAACAUAUAUACAUGCAUACAUAUUCCAGAAAUGGACGGCAAUCUAUAAAAUCUUGUUUAAAAAGCAGACAAACACAUUUCGACAACAUCCUUUAAAGAAGAUGCGUAUUUCAUUCAAAAAUACUCCAAAUUCAGCCAUAUUCUGAAUUCAGCCAUCCGCUGAAGAAGACGAAGAUAUAAUAUUAAAGAAGCAGUCUUAUUAAAAUUAGUAUGCACAGGCACGAAAGUUAAGAGUGCAGUACUGCAGGCCACUUGAGCUCACUGCUAUC